CCCCCCCCCCCCCCACCACCCACCACCAGACCUCCUCCACCCACUUUCUGAAGUGCUGGCGUGAUAGCGGGCCCGCGGACACUCAAGAGGGUGCUCAGAUAAGGAGGUGAGGCGGACGGACUUCGUCGGUCUCCAUGGUCACCACCCCUCCCCCAAACCCUCCCCUUCUCUCCCCCGACCCCCGUCCCCCUCCUCGCCCCCAGCGGGGAAAACUUUUCGGUUUGUCGUGUACUUUAACGUUAGAAGCGUGACGAGGUCUGUUGUUGUUGUUGUUGUUGUCAGCUCUCGUCCCCUAAAAGCUCUACUAAAAGCUAUACUGCAAUAACAACCAUAACGUUAAAUCCAUAAAGUAGAUCUGCAGUGAGGUUUUAGCGUAUAGAGUGUAACCCGUAACACUCGCUGCAGUCCUCGUUGUUGACCUUCAGUUCUAGAUGUUGUUUUGUUCUCUGACCUUGUGUGUCUACGCACACGACUGUGGUAGAAAAAUGUCAAAAUAACCGUUGCAUCGAAUCCCUAGACUAUCUCAAGUUGUUAACUGCAAUAAAAGACGUUGUUGCUUUGAACAUUUAAACAUUUCUUCUCCUUUUUCUAGGGUUUUCUAGGGUUAGGGUCCUACUUUAUUGUAUUUGUGUGUGUGUGUGUUUCAGAUAUACUUUUGGAAACUUUACUCUAGAACUCUACUGGCCAAUUCAAUGAUAUUUAACCUAACUCACUCCACUUCUAUAGCCUGGGUCGAGAUUCUGGACCACUCAGUCAAUGUAGUGGUAAAGGUCAUCUGUCUAAAUGGCAAUGCUUUUUAGACGGAUCCAUAACAUCACAAUCCUAUUAGAAUCCAUCUCGUCAGCAUAUACGUUUGUGUCCGACCCACCAGUGGUAUUUCGCACCAGUAUUCCUUUAAAGUUCCUGAACCUUUUCUGAACAAUCCCCCAGGAAUCCUCCCCAGUGGGUUCUGUGUAACAAACCAUCAGAAGUCGGGUUGACCUAAAGCUGCUGAAGGUAUAGAUCCAAGGACAUGAGUGUACCCAUGCGUCUUUGUACUAAAUCUGUAUGUGGGUUUUAUGUGUUGGAAGCUGACAUGUGCUUCAGCAGAGAGGACAAUUAUCACGAGAGCGUGCGUGUGCAUGCGCGUGUGCACGUGUGUGUGUGUGUGUGUGUGUGUGUGUGUGUGUGUGUGUGUGUGUGUGUGUGUGUGUGUGUGUGUGUGUGUACAGUACGGUAUGUAUAUCUCAUGUCCCAGCCCUUAUCUAAGGCAUGGUGGUCUCAGGUCUGCUCUACAGCAGACAGGCCGCGACGGGCGAAUUCCGUCCAGAUAAAAGUCUCUGUUGGCUGACGUAGAAGGCGCUCGGGGCCCCAUUGAUCCACCCUCACUCCGUCUCCCAGGCGAGGUGGGGGGGAUCUUAGAGGGCAGGGUUACCGAUAGCUGGGGGAUACUCUUGCCAAUUAUCUUAUGUGAAUAGAGUCGUUGCCACGCAGGCCAUGGGAACCAGCAUCUUCCACACAGGAGAGUAAACAUGAAGGCGCUGCUCUUCCCUUUGUUUGUCACGCGGACCCCAACGCUGUCGGUUCAUUCAGAUGUAAAACAGAUGCAUGAUGCUGGAAACUGCUGUAGAGACUGUAAGGUCACAUAUUGUGACCCGUUGCCCUAAUUUAAAGUAUUUUGUGUAUUUUUUAAUCAAAUACAAACACUUUUAAGAGGUAUUUGUUAGGGGAGUUGCUAAACAAUCGAAAGAAAACAAAGCCAGUAUUUGACGGCGUUUGUGGCUGUUUUCAUCAGAUAAGGUAGUUUUAAGAGAUCUUUUUUUAUGGAGUUGCCAGAGAAUGUAAAGGAGAAAGAAGCCCUUAUUAUAAAGCCUUUGUGGCUUUUUUAAUCGGAUAGAAGUAAUUUGAAGAGGUAAUUGUUAAUGCCAGAGCAUGUAAAGGGUUAAACCAUGAUACGUUUUAAAGGGAUAAAAAUAAUAAUAAUUGUGGCUCUCUGUAUCCGUGCAACGUAUCGCUCUUUUAUCCAUUUACCCACUCAUCCCCUCAGCCAUCACACACAUCCCCCGCCUCGUCUAUUCACUAAGAACACAGCCCAUUGUGGAGGAAAGUCUGGACUAUUAAUUUGUGUAGCUAAACAAAUUUCCAUUUACAAUGGAGGCCUUUCUUGCUUUGAACCAAUUCCAUCCAGAUCGAGUAAUACAGGACCCUGCAAGUGUGGCUGCAUCACAUCAGACAGAGCAGUAUGGUUGUACUCAUCCUAUAAGUUAACGGAUUGUCCUUGCCAUCACACCAACGACACGGUGGGAAGGCAUGCGUCCAUGCCUUCUCAUUGGUUAAUUUUAGCCCGCGGUUCAUCCAGGGGCUUUCCGAGACAAACAGCAGAGCUUAUAGCAGGCCCGAUCGCCUCUCUGCGAUACCAAUUACUAAACACUUGUGUUGUCACGGCUCGCAGGGAGGUGAACCCAAAGGCAGAGAUCAGACCAGGGGUCGAGGGAAAACCAAGCUGUUCUUCGCCUCAAACAGGCGGUCGGAACCGGAAAGAACCGGAAAACUGGGGGAGAAACUAGAGAACAAAUGGACCGCAUUUAAAUAGUGCUUUUAGUAGAAGCGGCCACUCAAAGCACUUUACAAUUAUCAGAACCAUUCACACACCAAAGUCUGUGUCCAGCAUGCAAGGCGACAGCCAGCUCGUCGGGAGCGGUUAGGGUGAGGUGUCUUGCUCAGGGACACCAGGAAUCUAGAAAUAGUUAGGUCUUCCGGUUUUCUUGAAAAUCGUUCAUCCGAGUUUAACUAGCCGGGUGCAUUGCUGAGGAGGACCCAAGGAAGGGUUGGGAAGACCACUCCUCCAGAAAGAUGCAAACAGCAAUACUGGAGACCCAGCAGUCGGCCCAGGGCCAACCGCAGAAUUCAACCGCAGAAUUCAGCAGGAGAUUUCAACAGGAGAUUUCAACAGGAGAUUUCAGCGAUCUUGGGCCCAGCAAUACUGGACACAGCAAUCGGCCCAGGGCCAGAUCAACCAUAUAUGCAACAGGGCAAGUGCCAAGGGGGCCGAAAUCGCUACAGCCUGAGCCUAACGCUGAGCCUACCCACAAUGCAACAGACUCCGAGCUGCCAGACCCGAAACUGACGCCGGAUCAACGCAAACUCAACCCGGACACGGGACUUAAUUCACAAUUCCACAUCCCUAAAAAUAACGAUGCAUAAAUGGAGAAGC
ensembl:lncRNA